CUACACAUGCAAGUCGAACGGAUCCUUCGGGAUUAGUGGCGGACGGGUGAGUAACACGUGGGAACGUGCCUUUUGGUUCGGAAUAGCUCCUGGAAACGGGUGGUAAUGCCGAAUGUGCCCUUCGGGGGAAAGAUUUAUCGCCAUUAGAGCGGCCCGCGUCUGAUUAGCUAGUUGGUGAGGUAAAGGCUCACCAAGGCUACGAUCAGUAGCUGGUCUGAGAGGAUGACCAGCCACAUUGGGACUGAGACACGGCCCAAACUCCUACGGGAGGCAGCAGUGGGGAAUCUUGCGCAAUGGGCGAAAGCCUGACGCAGCCAUGCCGCGUGAAUGAUGAAGGUCUUAGGAUUGUAAAAUUCUUUCACCGGGGACGAUAAUGACGGUACCCGGAGAAGAAGCCCCGGCUAACUUCGUGCCAGCAGCCGCGGUAAUACGAAGGGGGCUAGCGUUGCUCGGAAUUACUGGGCGUAAAGGGAGCGUAGGCGGACAUUUAAGUCAGGGGUGAAAUCCCAGAGCUCAACUCUGGAACUGCCUUUGAUACUGGGUGUCUUGAGUGUGAGAGAGGUAUGUGGAACUCCGAGUGUAGAGGUGAAAUUCGUAGAUAUUCGGAAGAACACCAGUGGCGAAGGCGACAUACUGGCUCAUUACUGACGCUGAGGCUCGAAAGCGUGGGGAGCAAACAGGAUUAGAUACCCUGGUAGUCCACGCUGUAAACGAUGAUUGCUAGUUGUCGGGAUGCAUGCAUUUCGGUGACGCAGCU
rnacentral:rRNA from 1 species